rnacentral:rRNA from 1 species
GACGAACGCUGGCGGCGUGCCUAAUACAUGCAAGUCGAACGCAGUGGGGACGGGUGAGUAACACGUGGGUAACCUCCCAUCAGAGGGGAUAACACUUGGAAACAGGUGCUAAACCGAUACUGAUGGAUGGACCCGCGGUGCAUUAGCUAGUUGGUGGGGUAACGGCUCACCAAGGCCACGAUGCAUAGCCGGCCGGGAAGGGUGACCGGCCACACGGGGAGUGAGACACGGCCCAGACUCCAACGGGAGGAAGCAGUAGGGAAUCUUCGACAAGGGACGAAAGUCUGACCGAGCAACGCCGCGUGAGUGAAGAAGGUUUUCGGAUCGUAAAACUCUGUUGUUAGAGAAGCGGUAUCUAACCAGAAAGCCACGGCUAACUACGUGCCAGCAGCCGCGGUAAUUC